UACGUAUGGUGCAAGCGUUAUCCGGAUUUACUGGGCGUAAAGGGAGCGCAGGCGGCGCGCCAAGUCUGAUGUGAAACCCCGGGGCUCAACCCCGGGCAUGCAUUGGAAACUGGCGGGCUGGAGUGCCGGAGAGGUAAGCGGAAUUCCUAGUGUAGCGGUGAAAUGCGUAGAUAUUAGGAGGAACACCUGUGGCGAAGGCGGCUUACUGGACGGCAACUGACGCUGAGGCUCGAAAGCGUGGGGAGCAAACAGG
rnacentral:rRNA from 1 species